rnacentral:rRNA from 1 species
GACGAACGCUGGCGGCGUGCUUAACACAUGCAAGUCGAACGGAAAGGCCCUGCUUUUGUGGGGUGCUCGAGUGGCGAACGUGUGAGUAACACGUGAGUAACCUGCCCUUGACUUUGGGAUAACUUCAGGAAACUGGGGCUAAUACCGGAUAGGAGCUCCUGCUGCAUGGUGGGGGUUGGAAAGUUUCGGCGGUUGGGGAUGGACUCGCGGGUUAUCAGCUUGUUGGUGGGGUAGUGGCUUACCAAGGCUUUGACGGGUAGCCGGCCUGAGAGGGUGACCGGCAAAAAUGGGACUGAGAUACGGAGCAGACGCGAACGGGAGGCAGCAGUGGGGAAUAUUGCAAAAUGGGAGGAAGCCUGAUGAAGAAAAGCAGCGUGCGGGAUGAAGGCCUUCGGGUUGUAAACAGAUGUAGAAUGUGAAGAAGAGUGAGUGACGGUAAUGGGUAAAGAAGCACCGGCUAACUACGUG